rnacentral:lncRNA from 1 species
CUAAUCUGGAGAAGAGAAUUUUAUUCUUCUCAGGGUAAGAAUCUAUACCUGGAAUAAUUUCUUAAUCAUAGGAUUAAGAUUUUAUAAGUAAUAAGUAAUGUUGCUUUUAAAAUUGAUUCUAUCUAUUGUCUGAAUUUAGUUUUCUCUUCAAACUUUAGAAUUGUGAGAUUUGAAGUGAUAUCAGAUAUUUAUAAAUGGUAGCAUUAUACCUUUGUCAUUUUUUUUAAGCAGAAGGAAAAAGUAACAAAUUCCACAGAAUUGCAGCAUCAGUUAGAUAAAACAAAGCAACAGCAUCAAGAACAACAAGCUCUUCAGCAAAGCACUACGGCAAAACUUUGAGAAGCUCAGGAAAUUGGCAGAAAUUGGGAUUGAAAGAAAGACUAAAUCAGGUCUCAAGUCUUCAGUGAAUGAGGUAGGGAUUUAUAGAUAGCAACACAGGACAGAGUGUAGAAUAAAUGAAUGACAUACUUCCCA